rnacentral:rRNA from 1 species
UACGGAGGGUGCAAGCGUUAUCCGGAUUCACUGGGUUUAAAGGGUGCGUAGGUGGGCAGGUAAGUCAGCGGUGAAAUCCCCGAGCUUAACUUGGGAACUGCCAUUGAUACUAUCUGUCUUGAAUACCUUGGAGGUGAGCGGAAUAUGUCAUGUAGCGGUGAAAUGCUUAGAUAUGACAUAGAACACCAAUUGCGAAGGCAGCUCACUACACGGUCAUUGACACUGAGGCACGAAAGCUAGGGGAGCAAACAGG